CAGCCAUUCUGAUACAGAGCCAGUAGUCUAUUCUGAAGACGAUAGCGCAAUACUAUAGCCAAGUAAUCUACAGAUCGGAACUAAACAUGAUCAUCGACAGAGUUAUCUACAACGGCUUCAACACUUUGAAUCCAGGGACUGCUAUGACGAGCCCAGUUUAUAUGCAGUCUUUUUAUCCGGAUAGCUGUUUUAUGGAGCUCAACAACUCUUUCUGUACUCCAAACGAAUUUGAUGCCUCAGGCAAUGUUGGAAGCCCAAUUUCAUCAACAGCAAGUACUGAUACAAAAGAGUUUUCCAUGAGUGAGGUGCGGUCUUUCGAACGUUUCCAAGGUGUGCGUGUGAAGAAUACUGUGAAAGAACUGAUCAUGCAGAAACGCCGCAACCACAGGGUUCAUCAGCAUCCUGAGGGAGAAUGCACAGGUAAUAUUGAAAUGGUAUUGACCACAUUCCCCAAAAAUACAUGAAUAUAAGAUGAUGUGAAAAUAGUUUGUUUGUUAUCUUGUAGCCUUGAUAGCCCUUCUCCAAGGGCAGAAGAGGACUGCAGACUGCAUGAUAACAGAUUUUCCUGCUAAAAGACUUUGUACUUCAAAGGGAAUGCAGGUAAUUUAUUACUUGUGGUUAUAUUGUUUAAUUCAAUACCCUUGAACUUUCAGCACAAUCCUUUAUGUUUAGGCUCUAUGUAGAACAG
ensembl:lncRNA